rnacentral:rRNA from 1 species
AUUGAACGCUGGCGGCAGGCCUAACACAUGCAAGUCGAGCGAGCGGCGGACGGGUGAGUAAUGUCUGGUAAACUGUCUGAUGGAGGGGGAUAACUACUGGAAACGGUAGCUAAUACCGCAGACCAUCAGAUGUGCCCAGAUGGGAGUAGCUGGUAGGUGGGGUAACGGCUCACCUUGGCGACGAUCCCUAGCUGGUCUGAGAGGAUGACCAGCCACACUGGAACAGAGACACGGUCCAGACUCCUACGGGAGGCAGCAGGGGGGAAUAUUACACAAGGGGCGUAAGCCUGUUGCAGCCAUGCCGCGUGUGUGAAGAAGGCCUUAGGGUUGUAAAGCACUGUCAGCGGGGACGCGUUACCCGCAGAAUAAGCACCGGCAAAGUCCGUAGCAGCAGCCGCGGUAAUUC